GUCCCUAUAGUUCACUUGAUAGAGCAUUUGCCUAGACAGCGAAAGGCUCCCAGUUCAAGUCUGGGUAGAGGCA
rnacentral:tRNA from 1 species